rnacentral:rRNA from 1 species
UACAGAGGUCUCAAGCGUUGUUCGGAUUCAUUGGGCGUAAAGGGUGCGUAGGUGGCGUCGUAAGUCAGGUGUGAAAUUUCGGAGCUUAACUCCGAAACUGCAUUUGAUACUGCGGUGCUCGAGUACUGGAGAGGAGAUUGGAAUUUACGGUGUAGCAGUGAAAUGCGUAGAUAUCGUAAGGAAGACCAGUGGCGAAGGCGAAUCUCUGGACAGUUACUGACACUGAGGCACGAAGGCCAGGGGAGCAAACGGG